rnacentral:rRNA from 1 species
UACGGAGGGUGCAAGCGUUAUCCGGAUUCACUGGGUUUAAAGGGUGCGUAGGUGGGCAGGUAAGUCAGUGGUGAAAUCUCCGAGCUUAACUCGGAAACUGCCAUUGAUACUAUCUGUCUUGAAUUUUCUGGAGGUGAGCGGAAUAUGUCAUGUAGCGGUGAAAUGCUUAGAUAUGACAUAGAACACCCAUUGCGAAGGCAGCUCACUACGGGACAAUUGACACUGAGGCACGAAAGCGUGUGGAUCAAACAGG